CUCCUGGGCUCAAGUGAUUCUCCUGCCUCAGCCUCCCAAGUAGCUGGGACUACAGGGGGCUCAGAGCUGAUUUGCAGCCCAUCUCGAUGUGCCUCAUGGCUACUGAUCUCAUCCCUGCAUUCUUCUCCUCCCGCUUCCACCAGCUUUAUUAAGGUAAGAGGCAGGAGCAGCACAUCAGAAAUCUGAACAGACUGACCCAGCUGCAGGGCCUGAGCGGAGCUGAGCACAGCACCAGGCCUGGGAACUUACCACAGGGCAAUGCUGACGUUGGUCGAGCUGACGUUUUCCAGCUUUACAACGGGAGGAACGGCUUAUUGUUCUGAGAACAUUCCGAGGCUUUCUUCUAGGCUUGUGCAGCUGGGACUUCCUGUACCGCCAGUUUAAUUCUGCCUAGAGCUGAGGACCAUGCCAGAUAAGCAAGUCCCAGAAGCAGCCACUGCUCAGGACAGGAUGCUGAAAGUGAUGCCAGGUGGCCAGCCAGACUCUGGAUCCCUAGGGCUCUGCCGGAGGUAGUGGAGGUCAAGGUGAGUGGGAGAUCUACAUGGCCACAGAGCUCCUACGAUCUUUGCAUUAUAACAUAGGAGGUUGAGGGGCGGGCACAGUGGCUCACAUCUGUAAUCCCAGCACUUUGGG